ACCCACGUUCAGAUUGCAGGCUGCAACCCGCCCUCGCAUGAAGUCGGAAUUGCUAGUAAUCGCGGAUCAGCAUGCCGCGGUGAAUACGUUCCCGGGCCUUGUACACACCGCCCGUCACACCAUGGGAGCCGGUAAUACCCGAAGUCAGUAGUCCAACCACGUGAGGACGCUGCCGAAGGUAGGAUUGGCGACUGGGGUGAAGUCGUAACAAGGUAGC
rnacentral:rRNA from 1 species